UUUGGGCUCUAGGCUCGGUGAUUGGAGCGACCUUGGAUGUGGAUAUGUAUACAUAUAGAAAAAUGGGAGUGAUUAGAGUGCUUGUUGGAAUGAUGAACAGAGAUCCUCUCCCCCUUACCACUGACAUUGUCUUUGGCACUAAAGGAUAUGAGAUCACUUUUGUUUUGGAAGAUGAGAAAUUCACCCCUGCAGACCCUGUGGUGUUCACAGAUGUCCCACGAUGGGAUGGCGAUGGUGGCGGGGAUAUUGGAGAUGACCAAGAUGACAAAAACCCAGGUCAUGCAAAGAAGAAACAAAGAAAUGGAUGGAGUGUUGGUGGGUCUGGUGCUUCAUCGGGUGGGGGAGAUAGUGGG
rnacentral:misc_RNA from 1 species